rnacentral:rRNA from 1 species
GAAUUAAGCAUAUCAAUAAGCGGAGGAAAAGAAACCAACAGGGAUUGCCCCAGUAACGGGCGAGUGAAGCGGCAACAGCUCAAAUUUGAAAUCUGGCCUUCUGGUCCGAAUUGUAAUUUGUAGAGGAUGACUUUGGUUAGGUACCUUUCGAGUUCCUUGGAACAGGACGCCUUAGAGGGUGAGAGCCCCGUACGAUUGGAUGCCGAGCCUUUGUAAGUCUCCUUCGACGAGUCGAGUAGUUUGGGAAUGCUGCUCUAAAUGGGAGGUAAAUUUCUUCUAAAGCUAAAUACCGGCCAGAGACCGAUAGCGCACAAGUAGAGUGAUCGAAAGAUGAAAAGCACUUUGAAAAGAGGGUUAAAUAGUACGUGAAAUUGUUGAAAGGGAAGGGUUUAUGACCAGACCUUUGCGUUGGGAAUCAUCCGGUGUUCUCACCGGUGCACUUCCCUUCGUUGAGGCCAGCAUCAGUUUUGGUUGGGGGAUAAAGACUUUAGGAAUGUGAUUCCUCCGGGAAUGUUAUAGCCUUUUGUGUAAUACCCUGACCGGGACUGAGGACCGCGCUUCGGCUAGGAUGCUGGCAUAAUGGUCAUCAGCCACCCGUCUUGAAACACGGACCAAGGAGUCGAACAUUUAUGCGAGUGUUUGGGUGUUAAACCCUCACGCGUAAUUAAAGUGAACGGAGGUGAGAGCCCUUACGGGUGCAUCAUCGACCGAUCCUGAUGUCUUCGGAUGGAUUUGAGUAAGAGCAUAACUGUUCGGACCCGAAAGAUGGUGAACUAUGCGUGGAUAGGGUGAAGCCAGAGGAAACUCUGGUGGAGGCUCGCAGCGGUUCUGACGUGCAAAUCGAUCGUCAAAUCUGCGCAUGGGGGGCGAAAGACUAAUCGAACCAUCUAGUAGCUGGUUACCGCCGAAGG